rnacentral:rRNA from 1 species
GUUAAAAAGCUCGUAGUUGGAUUUCUGUCGGUGAGUGGCGGUCCGCCCCCUGUGGUGAGCACUCGUCAGGCCACCGACAUCUUCCUGGGGAUUGCGCUGCACUUCACUGUGUGGUGUACUAUCCAGGGCGUUUACUUUGAGGAAAUGAGAGUGUUUCAAGCAAGCAUCUGCCAUGAAUACGUUAGCAUGGAAUAAUAGCAUCGGACCUCGAUCUGAAGCUGUUGGUGUUUUGGGUCGGGGUAAAGGUGAAUAGAGAUUGUUGGGGCAUUCGUAUUUAACUGUCAGAGGUGAAAUUCUUGGAUUUGUUGAAGACGGACUACUGCGAAAGCAUCUGCCAAAGAUGUUCUCAUUGAUCAAGAACGAAAGUUAGGUGAUCGAAGACGAUCAGAUACCGUCCUAGUCUUAACCAUAAACUAUGCCACCUGGAGAUAGGGGGUCGUUAUUUGUUGACACCUUCUGCAUCCUGAGAGAAAUCAAAGUCUUUGGGUUCCGGGGGGAGUAUGGUCGCAAGGCUGAAACUUAAAGGAAUUGACGGAAGGGCACCACCAGGAGUGGAGCCUGCGGCUUAAUUUGACUCAACACGGGGAAACUUACCAGGUCCAGACAUAGUGAGGAUUGACAGACUGAUAGCUCUUUCGAGAUUCUAUGGGUGGUGGUGCAUGGCCGUUCUUAGUUGGUGGAGUGAUUUGUCUGGUUAAU